rnacentral:rRNA from 1 species
GACGAACGCUGGCGGCGUGCUUAACACAUGCAAGUCGAACGAUGAAGGAGAGCUUGCUCUCCGGAUUAGUGGCGAACGGGUGAGUAACACGUGACUAACCUGCCCCUUUCUCUGGGAUAACGCUCCGAAAGGAGUGCUAAUACCGGAUACGAACUCUGAACACAUGCUCGGAGUUGGAAAGUUUUUCGGAAAGGGAUGGAGUCGCGGCCUAUCAGCUUGUUGGUGAGGUAACGGCUCACCAAGGCGACGACGGGUAGCCGGCCUGAGAGGGCGACCGGCCACACUGGGACUGAGACACGGCCCAGACUCCUACGGGAGGCAGCAGUGGGGAAUAUUGCACAAUGGGCGAAAGCCUGAUGCAGCGACGCCGCGUGAGGGAUGAAGGUCUUCGGAUUGUAAACCUCUUUCAGUAGGGACGAAGCGAAAGUGACGGUACCUAAAGAAGAAGCACCGGCUAACUACGUGCCAGCCGCCGCGGUAA